GCUCUCGUAGCUCAGUAGGUAGAGCGUCCGCUUGGUAAGCGGGAGGUCAGCAGUUCAAGUCUGCCCGAGAGCU
rnacentral:tRNA from 1 species